rnacentral:rRNA from 1 species
GACGAACGCUGGCGGCGUGCCUAAUACAUGCAAGUCGAACGAACCGCGACUAGGUGCUUGCACUUGGUCAAGGUGAGUGGCGAACGGGUGAGUAACACGUGGGUAACCUACCUCAUAGUGGGGGAUAACAGUCGGAAACGACUGCUAAUACCGCAUAGGACAUAGGAUCACAUGAUCCAGUGAGGAAAGGUGGCGCAAGCUAUCGCUAAGAGAUGGACCCGCGGUGCAUUAGCUAGUUGGUAGGGUAAAGGCCUACCAAGGCGAUGAUGCAUAGCCGACCGGAGAGGGUGAUCGGCCACAUUGGGACUUGGACACGGCCCAAGCGCCUGCGGGAGGCAGCAGUAGGGAAUCUUCCGCAAUGGACGCAAGUCUGACGGAGCAACGCCGCGUGAGUGAAGGAGGUCUUCGGAUCGUAAAGCUCUGUUGUUAGAGAAGAACAGCGCAUAGAGUAACUGUUAUGCGUGUGACGGUAUCGAACCAGAAAGCCACGGCUAACUACGUG